rnacentral:rRNA from 1 species
UGGGGAAUUUUGGACAAUGGGCGAAAGCCUGAUCCAGCAAUGCCGCGUGUGUGAAGAAGGCCUUCGGGUUGUAAAGCACUUUUGUCCGGAAAGAAAUCCUUGGCUCUAAUACAGUCGGGGGAUGACGGUACCGGAAGAAUAAGCACCGGCUAACUACGUGCCAGCAGCCGCGGUAAUACGUAGGGUGCAAGCGUUAAUCGGAAUUACUGGGCGUAAAGCGUGCGCAGGCGGUUUGCUAAGACCGAUGUGAAAUCCCCGGGCUCAACCUGGGAACUGCAUUCGUGACUGCAAGGCUAGAGUAUGGCAGAGGGGGGUAGAAUUCCACGUGUAGCAGUGAAAUGCGUAGAGAUGUGGAGGAAUACCGAUGGCGAAGGCAGCCCCCUGGGCCAAUACUGACGCUCAUGCACGAAAGCGUGGGGAGCAAACAGGAUUAGAUACCCUGGUAGUCCACGCCCUAAACGAUGUCAACUAGUUGUUGGGGAUUCAUUUCCUUAGUAACUAGCUAACGCGUGAAGUUGACCGCCUGGGGAGUACGGUCGCAAGAUUAAAACUUAAAUGAAUUGNCGGGGUC